rnacentral:rRNA from 1 species
CAUGAUGAACGCUAGCUACAGGCUUAACACAUGCAAGUCGAGGGGCAUCAGGAAGAAAGCUUGCUUUCUUUGCUGGCGACCGGCGCACGGGUGAGUAACACGUAUCCAACCUGCCCUUUACUCGGGGAUAGCCUUUCGAAAGAAAGAUUAAUACCCGAUGGCAUAAUGAUUCCGCAUGGUUUCAUUAUUAAAGGAUUCCGGUAAAGGAUGGGGAUGCGUUCCAUUAGGUUGUUGGUGAGGUAACGGCUCACCAAGCCUUCGAUGGAUAGGGGUUCUGAGAGGAAGGUCCCCCACAUUGGAACUGAGACACGGUCCAAACUCCUACGGGAGGCAGCAGUGAGGAAUAUUGGUCAAUGGGCGCUAGCCUGAACCAGCCAAGUAGCGUGAAGGAUGAAGGCUCUAUGGGUCGUAAACUUCUUUUAUAUAAGAAUAAAGUGCAGUAUGUAUACUGUUUUGUAUGUAUUAUAUGAAUAAGGAUCGGCUAACUCCGUGCCAGCAGCCGCGGUAAUACGGAGGAUCCGAGCGUUAUCCGGAUUUAUUGGGUUUAAAGGGAGCGUAGGUGGACUGGUAAGUCAGUUGUGAAAGUUUGCGGCUCAACCGUAAAAUUGCAGUUGAUACUGUCAGUCUUGAGUACAGUAGAGGUGGGCGGAAUUCGUGGUGUAGCGGUGAAAUGCUUAGAUAUCACGAAGAACUCCGAUUGCGAAGGCAGCUCACUGGACUGCAACUGACACUGAUGCUCGAAAGUGUGGGUAUCAAACAGGAUUAGAUACCCUGGUAGUCCACACAGUAAACGAUGAAUACUCGCUGUUUGCGAUAUACAGUAAGCGGCCAAGCGAAAGCAUUAAGUAUUCCACCUGGGGAGUACGCCGGCAACGGUGAAACUCAAAGGAAUUGACGGGGGCCCGCACAAGCGGAGGAACAUGUGGUUUAAUUCGAUGAUACGCGAGGAACCUUACCCGGGCUUAAAUUGCAGUGGAAUGAUGUGGAAACAUGUCAGUGAGCAAUCACCGCUGUGAAGGUGCUGCAUGGUUGUCGUCAGCUCGUGCCGUGAGGUGUCGGCUUAAGUGCCAUAACGAGCGCGACCCUUAUCUUUAGUUACUAACAGGUUAUGCUGAGGACUCUAGAGAGACUGCCGUCGUAAGAUGUGAGGAAGGUGGGGAUGACGUCAAAUCAGCACGGCCCUUACGUCCGGGGCUACACACGUGUUACAAUGGGGGGUACAGAAGGCAGCUAGCGGGUGACCGUAUGCUAAUCCCAAAAGCCUCUCUCAGUUCGGAUCGAAGUCUGCAACCCGACUUCGUGAAGCUGGAUUCGCUAGUAAUCGCGCAUCAGCCACGGCGCGGUGAAUACGUUCCCGGGCCUUGUACACACCGCCCGUCAAGCCAUGGGAGCCGGGGGUACCUGAAGUACGUAACCGCAAGGAUCGUCCUAGGGUAAA